rnacentral:lncRNA from 1 species
AGACAGCUUCUCAGACUCUGGGCCCCAGGGCCCCAGGGUGAGGUUGGGAGUUUUAUUUAGUUCAGUGAGAGCUUUGACAGGGGAAGAGACUCCACUACUAAGAUAAGCAUUUCAAAACCAGAGACCUAAUCUAACACCGCUUUACCAGUGAGGAACUAGAGGCCCAGAAAGGAGAAGUGAUUUGCAAAGGUCACCUGGCUCUACUGUGUCAAGCUCCUGCCUGGGCCUUGGACCCUUGUGGAUGAAGGCAGAGGCACACAGGUAGAGGUCCCCAUCUUUCUGCCCAAAUCUGAGGACCCCAAAGCCCUGAGGACCCUAGAGGGCAGGCAUCUCACAGAAGGCAGCCCGGAUGUGGGUCUGGGACGGCCAGGAGGGCAGAGGCGCCCUCUGUCGCUUCCCUGACAGCCAUCGAGCAGGCUGCAGGUGACCAGCCCAGGAUGGCCUCUCCCACAGAUCAGCUGCCGGGCCUUUCUCAGAGUCCUCACAACGGUACCAGAAGCAGGGCCCUUCUCACUUCGGAACUGGGUCACUGAGGCACCAAGUAUAAGGCAGCCCAGAACCAAGCUGGUCUGACACAAACACUGUUCUUGUCAUAAUGUCUCGCUAUUCCCAGCCCUGAUUCAUGGGUAGCUGACCCCACCCCAAUGCCAGCCCUGUUUGUCCUCCCACCCAACCCUGUACUUGCCAGACCCCUUCCCCUGGCAUUAGCAAGGAUGGCCACCCUGACCGAGGCUCUGCAUGGGGAGCCAGGAAUGGAGGAGGCCUCUCAGGCAGAGGCCCAAGGAACUUGUAGGGCCUAGCAGACCGGAGGGCAUGACUCAGGCACAGGGCCUCCCAGGGGCUGUCACCCGAGGAUGCUCAUCCCAUCUCCCCACCACCCACACAGACACAUGCGGAGACACACGGAGACACACGGCACGCACGCUCAGCGGCUACGUGAGUCAUUUCCCUCCUCUCAGCACCCAUCCCCCAGCAGAGUGGCCUCCAGUCCCCCUCAGCAGGGCCAAGGCCCCCUGUGUGCUUGGGCCACACCCUGGGAGACAAGUGAUGCUCAUGACCUGCCCUGAC